rnacentral:rRNA from 1 species
CCUACGGGUGGCAGCAGUGAGGAAUAUUGGUCAAUGGCCGAGAGGCUGAACCAGCCAAGUCGCGUGAGGGAAGACGGCCCUACGGGUUGUAAACCUCUUUUGUCGGGGAGCAAAGCGAGUCACGUGUGACUCAUUGAGAGUACCCGAAGAAAAAGCAUCGGCUAACUCCGUGCCAGCAGCCGCGGUAAUACGGAGGAUGCGAGCGUUAUCCGGAUUUAUUGGGUUUAAAGGGUGCGCAGGCGGAGGUGCAAGUCAGCGGUCAAAUUGCGGGGCUCAACCCCGUACUGCCGUUGAAACUGCAGCCCGUGAGGGCAGCGGAGGCAGGCGGAAUGCGCGGUGUAGCGGUGAAAUGCAUAGAUAUCGCGCAGAACCCCGAUUGCGAAGGCAGCGUGCCGUGCCGCAACUGACGCUGAGGCACGAAAGCGCGGGGAUCGAACAGGAUUAGAUACCCUGGUAGUC